GAUGAAGAACGCAGCGAAAUGCGAUAAGUAAUGUGAAUUGCAGAAUUCAGUGAAUCAUCGAAUCUUUGAACGCACAUUGCGCCCUCUGGUAUUCCGGGGGGCAUGCCUGUUCGAGCGUCAUUACAACCCUCAAGCUUUGCUUGGUAUUGGACAUUGCCAGUUUCUGGCAGGUCUUAAAAUCAGUGGCGGUGCCAUUUGGCUUCAAGCGUAGUAAUUCUUCUCGCUUUGGAGAUCCAAGUGGUUACUUGCCAAUAACCCCCAAUUUUUUCAGGUUGACCUCGGAUCAGGUAGGGAUACCCGCUGAACUUAAGCAUAUCAAUAAGCGGAAGA
rnacentral:misc_RNA from 1 species